rnacentral:tRNA from 1 species
CCUUCGAUAGCUCAGUUGGUAGAGCGGUGGACUGUAGAUAAAGAAAUAUUGCUGAAAUCCAUAGGUCGCUGGUUCAAAUCCGGCUCGAAGGA